UACGUAGGGGGGCAAGCGUUGUCCGGAAUUAUUGGGCGUAAAGGGCACGCAGGCGGUGGUUUAAGCUUGGUGUUUAAUCCCAGGGCUCAACCCUGGUACGCACUGAAAACUGGAUCACUUGAGUACAGAAGAGGAGAGUGGAAUUCCACGUGUAGCGGUGAAAUGCGUAGAGAUGUGGAGGAACACCGAUGGCGAAGGCAGGUCUCUGGGCCGAUACUGACGCUGAGGAGCGAAAGCGUGGGGAGCGAACAGG
rnacentral:rRNA from 1 species